CCCAUCCAAGACAAAGGAAAUAAGUGCAAUUUCAGUUCCUGCAUUCCUGCACAUGCUCAGUACACUGAUGACAGUAUCCUAGCUACGUGUAGCUAACCAACUGACACAACAUACACAUAUGCCACAUGGAGAUUUUGGCCUACUAAAUUUUGACCAUGCUGGAAUCCCAUCACAUUCCCCCCUUUGAUGCCUCUGACAUAACAUUAUUCCAGAUGCAUCACCAAUCACAGUUUUACCUACAUCUCUCAAGUAGCCAUUGAACCAGAGUAGACCUUGUAAGCAUCUUAAAAACUCCUUCAACAUUCCUCAUCCUGAAUAUAUUCUCUUCGGGCUAGGGGAUGAUAUCUUCCAGACAGCCAUUACAUGGGCAGCUGUCUUUCUCUCUAUAGUACUCUCUAUAAAACUACGUAGGGACCUUACCACUAAUG